AAUGGGUAUUGAUCUAGAGAAGAUGGAAACUGCACUAGCUAUCAAAGAGGACGAAGAUUUCACAACAGAAUGGUUUGCACCAGAAGAUCAGAAAGGAGUUCACUUAGAGGAAAGAAGCCUA
rnacentral:sRNA from 1 species